CCUACGGGAGGCAGCAGUGAGGAAUAUUGGUCAAUGGGCUAAGGCCUGAACCAGCCAAGUCGCGUGAGGGAAGACGGUCCUAUGGAUUGUAAACCUCUUUUGUCGGGGAGCAACGAGGCCACGUGUGGCCGAAGUGAGAGUACCCGAAGAAAAAGCAUCGGCUAACUCCGUGCCAGCAGCCGCGGUAAUACGGAGGAUGCGAGCGUUAUCCGGAUUUAUUGGGUUUAAAGGGUGCGUAGGUUGUUUUUUAAGUCAGCGGUGAAAGUUUGUGGCUCAACCAUAAAAUUGCCGUUGAAACUGGAAGACUUGAGUGUGUUUGAGGUAGGCGGAAUGCGUGGUGUAGCGGUGAAAUGCAUAGAUAUCACGCAGAACUCCGAUUGCGAAGGCAGCUUACUAAGCCAUAACUGACACUGAAGCACGAAAGCGUGGGGAUCAAACAGGAUUAGAUACCCGAGUAGUC
rnacentral:rRNA from 1 species